AAAGGUACUCAAGGGCACUCAGUGGAUGCCUAGACGUAUGUUACCGAUGAAGGACGUGGAAGACUGCGAAAAGUCUCGGGGAGCUGUCAACAAGCUUUGAUCCGGGAAUAUCCGAAUGGGGAAACCCGCCAUGAGUCAUGUCAUGUGCAUCGCUACCUGAAUCUAUAGGGUAGUUGAAAGGGAACCGCCUGAACUGAAACAUCUUAGUAGGGCGAGGAAAAGAAAGUAAAUAACGAUUGCGGGAGUAGUGGCGAGCGAAACCGUAAGAGCCCAAACCUUUUAAGUUCUCAUCUUCGGAUGAGUAAGUUGUUAGACGAAUACUUAAAAUGGGGUUGUGAGUUAACAAACGACCAAGUCAGAGACCUAAACUUCGGUUUAGUGAUCUGAUUUGCGAUCAGCAGCUAACACUGUCUGAGUAAAGUAAGAAACCGGCGUGGUUAGCAGAAUAGUUUGAAUGGCUAACCAAAGGACGUGAAAGUCGUGUACGCGAAAACCGCGCUGGCUUUAUGUUUGUUCUCUCGAGUAGGACGGGACACGAGAAAUCCUGUUUGAAUCCGGCUGGACCACCAGCCAAGGCUAAAUAUGACAUACGAUCGAUAGUGAACAAGUACAGUGAUGGAAAGGUGAAAAGAACCCCGGGAGGGGAGUGAAAUAGAUCCUGAAACUAAGUGCCUACAAGGAGUCGGAGCGGACUUGUUCCGUGACGGCGUGCUUUUUGUAGAACGAUCCAGCGAGUUAAUUUCGUCAGCAAGGUUAAGUCAAGUGACGGAGCCAUAGUGAAAGCGAGCCUGAAUAGGGCGAUUUAAGUUGACGGGAUUAGACCCGAAACCAGGUGACCUAACCAUGGGCAGGUUGAAGCUGCGGUAAAGCGCAGUGAAGGACCGAACCGCCGCACGUUGUAAAGUGCUCGGAUGACCUGUGGUUAGCGGUGAAAUGCCAAUCGAACUUGGAGAUAGCUGGUUCUCCUCGAAAUAGCUUUAGGGCUAGCGUCAAGUGGUAGCAAUUGGGGGUAGAGCUCUGUAAAGGACUGGGGCUGGCAACGGUACCCACCCUUAACAAACUACGAAUACCAAUUGUGGAAUCUUGGCAGUUAGAACGUCGGGGCUAAGCUCGGCGCUCGAAAGGGAAACAGCCCAGACCAUCGUCUAAGGUCCCUAAAUAUACACUCAGUGGGAAACAAGGUGAGAUUUCUUAAACAGCUAGGAUGUUGGCUUAGAAGCAGCCAUUCAUUUAAAGAGUGCGUAACAGCUCACUAGUCAAGAGAUCUUGCGUGGAAAAUGUAACGGGGCUCAAGUGUAUUACCGAAGACAUGGACUGCGUAGCAAUACGUAUGUGGUAGAGGAGCGUUCCUAUCAGCGGUGAAGCCAGACUGGAAAGUACUGGUGGAGCGGUAGGAAGUGAGAAUGCUGGAAUGAGUAACUUCAAGACAGGUGAGAAUCCUGUCGGCCGAAAGAGCAAGGUUUCCUGGGCGAUGGUAAUCAUCCCAGGGUUAGUCGGGCCUAAGCCGAGGCGCGUAGCGUAGGCGAUGGACAUCAGGUUAAUAUUCCUGAACCCGUACAAGUUUUUACACUGUUCACGGCGAGAGAGUCAGAGCGGAUUCAUGGUAUGUAUCCGUCCAACCUAGGGGGAACCCGAUGGGAGUGAAAGUGAAACCUCGAGUUUCGCGAUUCUGGUGAUAGCGCUGGCUAGAAAAGCAGGUGUAAUUAUGGCUUGUGCGGCCCGUACCGCAAACCAACACCGGUGCUCGAGUCGAGAAGACUAAGGCUUACGAGAGACCCUUUGCUAAGGAACUCGGCAAUACAGCGACCGUAACUUCGGGAUAAGGUCUGCCCCCUCACACUGUGUAUAACAGUGGCGAGGAUGCCAGUUUUUAGAAGGAAUGAAGUAAAUGAUUGAGUACCUAUGAAUCUUCGGAUUCAUUUCAAUCGACAUCUAAUUUGACUGAGAAGACACAGUGAUUUCUAAAGACUGCCAAACUCAUCACACCUGGUUUAUACCUAGUGUGAGGGGGCCGCAGCAAAAGAGCCCACGGAACUGUUUAUCAAAAACACAGGUCUCUGCUAACACGAAAGUGGAUGUAUAGGGGCUGACUCCUGCCCGGUGCCGGAAGGUUAAGGGGACUGGUUCACGCUAGGAACUGAAGCCCCGGUGAACGGCGGCGGUAACUAUAACCGUCCUAAGGUAGCGAAAUUCCUUGUCAGGUAAGUUCUGACCCGCACGAAUGGAGUAAUCAUGUGGGCACUGUCUCAGCAAAGGACUCGGUGAAAGUGCAUUGGCGGUAAAGAUGCCGUCUGUCCGUACCAGGACGAAAAGACCCCGUGCAGCUUUACUACAGCUUUACAUUGAUCCGGGUUACAACAUGUGUAGCAUAGGUGGGAGACUUUGAAGCGGAUACGCUAGUAUUCGUGGAGUCGUUAGUGAAAUACCACCCUUGUUGUGAUCUUGAUCUUACCUUGACCGUUAUCCGGUUAGGGGACCGUGUAUGGUGGGUAGUUUAACUGGGGCGGUUGCCUCCUAAAGAGUAGCGGAGGCGUUCAAAGGUUGGCUAGCUUCGGAUGGAAAUCGAAGUGAUAGUGUAUACGCAUAAGCCAGCUUGACUGUGAGGAGUACAUUCCGAUCAGAUACGAAAGUAGGAGUAAGUGAUCCGCUAGAAGUACAAUAGUACAUGAAUGUGGGAUUGCUAGCGCAAACGGAUAAAAGUUACGCCGGGGAUAACAGGCUUAUAGCGCCCAAUAGUUCACAUAGACGGCGCUGUUUGGCACCUCGAUGUCGGCUCAUCACAUCCUGGAGGGGGAGCACCUUCCAAGGGUUCGGCUGUUCGCCGAUUAAAGUGGUACGCGAGCUGGGUUCAGAACGUCGUGAGACAGUUCGGUUUAUAUCCCUGUCUCUUAUACACAUCU
rnacentral:rRNA from 1 species